rnacentral:rRNA from 1 species
UACGAAGGGGGCUAGCGUUGUUCGGAAUUACUGGGCGUAAAGCGCGCGCAGGCGGCUAUCCAAGUCAGUGGUGAAAGCCCGGAGCUCAACUCCGGAACUGCCAUUGAAACUGUUUAGCUGGAGUAUGAGAGAGGUGAGUGGAAUUCCCAGUGUAGAGGUGAAAUUCGUAGAUAUUGGGAAGAACACCGGUGGCGAAGGCGGCUCACUGGCCCGGUACUGACGCUGAGGUGCGAAAAGCGUGGGGAGCAAACAGG